rnacentral:rRNA from 1 species
GACGAACGCUGGCGGCGUGCUUAACACAUGCAAGUCGAACGAAGAGCGAUGGACGCUUGCCUCUAUCAAUCUUAGUGGCGCACGGGUGAGUAACGCGUAAUCAACCUGCCCUUCAGAGGGGGACAACAGUUGGAAACGACUGCUAAUACCGCAUACGAUCUAAUCUCGGCAUCGAGGACAGAUGAAAGGUGGCCUCUAUUUAUAAGCUAUCACUCCAGGAGGGGAUUGCGUCUGCUUAGCUAGUUGGAGGGGUAACGGCCCACCAAGGCGAUGAUCAGUAGCCGGUCUGAGAGGAUGAACGGCCACAUUGGGACUGAGACACGGCCCAGCCUCCUACGGGAGGAAGCAGUGGGGAAUCUUCCGCAAUGGACGCAAGUCUGACGGAGCAACGCCGCGUGAGUGAUGACGGCCUUCGGGUUGUAAAGCUCUGUUAAUCGGGACGAAAGGCCUUCUUGCGAACAGUUAGAAGGAUUGACGGUACCGGAAUAGAAAGCCACGGCUAACUACGUG